rnacentral:rRNA from 1 species
UACGGGGGGAGCAAGCGUUGUUCGGAUUUACUGGGCGUAAAGGGCGCGUAGGCGGCCACCGCAAGUCGACUGUGAAAUCUCCGGGCUUAACCCGGAAAGGUCAGCCGAUACUGCGGGGCUAGAGUGCAGAAGGGGCAACUGGAAUUCUCGGUGUAGCGGUGAAAUGCGUAGAUAUCGAGAGGAACACCUGCGGCGAAGGCGGGUUGCUGGGCUGACACGUGACACUGAGAGACGAAAGCUAGGGGAGCGAAUGGG